GGACCAAGGAGUCUAGCAUGUGCGCGAGUCAUUGGGACACGACUAAACCUAAAGGCGCAAUGAAAGUGAAGGUCCGCCUUGCGCGGACCGAGGGAAGAUGGGCGGUUCACCCACAAGGUGGCCGCUCCGCACUCCCGGGGCGUCUCGUUCUCAUUGCGAGAAGAGGCGCACCAAGAGCGUACACGCUGGGACCCGAAAGAUGGUGAACUAUGCCUGGUCAGGACGAAGUCAGGGGAAACCCUGAUGGAGGUCCGUAGCGAUUCUGACGUGCAAAUCGAUCGUCGGAACUGGGUAUAGGGGCGAAAGACUAAUCGAACCAUCUAGUAGCUGGUUCCCUCCGAAGUUUCCCUCAGGAUAGCUGGCGCUCGUUGCGCACGAGUCUCAUCCGGUAAAGCGAAUGAUUAGAGGCCUUGGGGUCGAAACGGCCUCAACCUAUUCUCAAACUUUAAAUGGGUGAGAUCUCCGGCUUGCUCGAACUACUGAAGCCGCGAGACACGGAUCAGAGUGCCAAGUGGGCCAUUUUUGGUAAGCAGAACUGGCGCUGUGGGAUGAACCAAACGCCGAGUUAAAGCGCCUAAAUCGACGCUUAUGGGAUACCAUGAAAGGCGUUGGUAACUUAAGACAGCAGGACGGUGGCCAUGGAAGUCGGA
rnacentral:rRNA from 1 species